UCGUUGCAAAAGAAAUCCAACUCAGUUCAAGAGGAACCGCAGGUUCGGACAAAUGGUACAUGUACCUGCUCAAACGAGCGAUAGUAAGAAGAUAUUGUUCGAGAAAUUAUGACUGAAUGCUUCUAAGUCAGCGUCUAUUCAUUGUACGGUGAUGA
rnacentral:ncRNA from 2 species